rnacentral:rRNA from 1 species
GAUGAACGCUGGCGGCGUGCUUAACACAUGCAAGUCGAACGAAGCACUUUUCUUGCUUGCAAGAAAAGUGACUGAGUGGCGGACGGGUGAGUAACGCGUGGGUAACCUGCCUUAUACAGGGGGAUAGCAGUUGGAAACGACUGCUAAUACCGCAUAAGCGCACAGUGCCGCAUGGUACAGUGUGAACAACUCCGGUGGUAUAAGAUGGACCCGCGUCUGAUUAGCUAGUUGGUGAGGUAAUGGCUCACCAAGGCGACGAUCAGUAGCCGGCUUGAGAGAGUGAUCGGCCACAUUGGGACUGAGACACGGCCCAAACUCCUACGGGAGGCAGCAGUGGGGAAUAUUGCACAAUGGGGGAAACCCUGAUGCAGCGACGCCGCGUGAGCGAUGAAGUAUUUCGGUAUGUAAAGCUCUAUCAGCAGGGAAGAAAAUGACGGUACCUGACUAAGAAGCACCGGCUAAAUACGUGCCAGCCGCCGCGGUAACAC